rnacentral:rRNA from 1 species
GAUGAACGCUGGCGGCGUGCCUAAUACAUGCAAGUCGAGCGAACAGACGAGGAGUUUGCUCCUCUGACGUUAGCGGCGGACGGGUGAGUAACAUGUGGAUAACCUACCUAUAAGACUGGGAUAACUUCGGGAAACCGGAGCUAAUACCGGAUAAUAUAUUGAACCGCAUGGUUCAAUAGUGAAAUACGGUUUUGCUGUUACUUAUAGAUGGAGCCGCGUCGCAUUAGCUAGUUGGUAAGGUAACGGCUUACCAGGGCGACGAUUCGUAGCCGACCUGAGAGGGGGGACGCCAAACCUGGAAGUGAGCCACGGUCCAGACUCCUACGGGAGGAAGCGGAAGGGAAUCUUCCGCAAGGGGCGAAAGCCUAACGGAGCAACGCGGGGUGAGUGAUGAAGGUCUUCGGAUGGUAAACCUCUGUUAUUAGGGAGGAAGAAAUGUGUAAGUAACUAUGCACGUCUUGACGGUACCUAAUCAGAAAGCCACGGCUAACUACGUG